AUCGACUGAACCAUACAUGUUCAGUCCCUCUAUUGCUCUCAAUCUUUCCUCUAGAGCAGACAGCUUCUCAUUUUCGCUGGUCUUGUUUUCUCCUCCUACUGCAUUAAAUGCUCCCCCAGUUGGGAGAUGAGGGGUGGAGUGAACUGGAGGGAUUAGAAUUGAAGGGUAUGGGUCGGUGUUUGAAACGGUUGGGUAAUGAGAGUAAGGUAGGUCAUUAUUCAUGGUAGCCGGAUUGACAGUGAUUGUCGGGU
rnacentral:misc_RNA from 1 species